CUUGGAAAUUGGCAUAACGUGUAUCUCUUCUUUGCUACUCUAUUUGCGGAUGACGCAGAAUUCCAAGAUAUUUGGGAGUUAAGCAUUCCUCAAAGCUACUAGGAGGUGGCACAAUUGAUCCAUCUGCAUCCCCUGCCAGGAUCUACUCUGGGACCAACAGCCUACCAUGAGAGCUUGGUGAUGAAGAUCAUGUUUUGAUAUAAGGCAGCUGAAAUGUCUAUGGAAAACCUACUGGCUUUGUGACCAGAGACAUCAGAGGACAGAAGACAGGGCAGUUACAGCUGAAGGAAAGUGAGGAUUCAUCCCA